AGCACGUAGGUGGGUUUGUAAGUCAGAUGUGAAAGCCUUCUGUUCAACGGAAGAAUUGCAUCUGAAACUGCAGAUCUUGAGUGUAGGAGGGGAGAAUGGAACUUCUGGUGGAGCGGUGAAGUGCGUAGAUAUCAGAAGGAACGCCGGCGGCGAAAGCGAUUCUCUGGCCUAUUACUGACACUGAGUGUGCGAAAGCUAGGGGAGCAAACGGGAUUAGAUACCCCGGUAGUCCUAGCCGUAAACGAUGGGCACUAAGUAGAGGGG
rnacentral:rRNA from 1 species